rnacentral:rRNA from 1 species
AGUCGAACGCUUUUUCUUUCACCGGAGCUUGCUCCACUCGAAAGAAAAAGAGUGGCGAACGGGUGAGUAACACGUGGGUAACCUGCCCAUCAGAAGGGGAUAACACUUGGAAACAGGUGCUAAUACCGUAUAACACUAUUUUCCGCAUGGAAGAAAGUUGAAAGGCGCUUUUGCGUCACUGAUGGAUGGACCCGCGGUGCAUUAGCUAGUUGGUGAGGUAACGGCUCACCAAGGCCACGAUGCAUAGCCGACCUGAGAGGGUGAUCGGCCACACUGGGACUGAGACACGGCCCAGACUCCUACGGGAGGCAGCAGUAGGGAAUCUUCGGCAAUGGACGAAAGUCUGACCGAGCAACGCCGCGUGAGUGAAGAAGGUUUUCGGAUCGUAAAACUCUGUUGUUAGAGAAGAACAAGGAUGAGAGUANAACGUUCAUCCCUUGACGGUAUCUAACCAGAAAGCCACGGCUAACUACGUGCCAGCAGCCGCGGUAAUACGUAGGUGGCAAGCGUUGUCCGGAUUUAUUGGGCGUAAAGCGAGCGCAGGCGGUUUCUUAAGUCUGAUGUGAAAGCCCCCGGCUCAACCGGGGAGGGUCAUUGGAAACUGGGAGACUUGAGUGCAGAAGAGGAGAGUGGAAUUCCAUGUGUAGCGGUGAAAUGCGUAGAUAUAUGGAGGAACACCAGUGGCGAANGGCGGCUCUCUGGUCUGUAACUGACGCUGAGGCUCGAAAGCGUGGGGAGCGAACNNNA